UCCCCAGCCUAUCCUUCGAAAUGUCCAGGAGACUCUUCCUCAGUCUUGAGUUUCCCGCUGAUGUUACCACUGUCUUUGUUUCUGGAGAGGAAAACAAGUCUAAACUUACUUUCCAGUUGGAAAUGGAAUGGAGAGUUAACGUUGGAAGCCGGGAGAGUCUGUCCUGUGAUGAAGCGGUCUCUGAGCCACUUCCAUGGGGACGUCACGUCACUGUCUGGGCCCCUUGCACAGCCUGUGCACAGCAUUCCUAGGAGAGAAUUCAGCAGUGCAGCAUCCUCUCCGAGCUCUAUGAGUUGAUCGGCUUCCACCGCAAGUCCGCCUUCUUCAAGCGGGUGGCCCCCGUGCAGCGCGCGGCCCCCGGCAUCCCGGAGCCUGGCGGGAAGGUCUUCUCCCGACUCCUUCUGCAGACGCUUCCUGGCUACAGUCUGUCGCGGGAUCUGCAGGACUUCAGCAAAGGUGUUGGAACUAAAACAUUGCUUCAGUCCCAUUAACCAUGCCUGGUUUGGGCCCUGCUGUCCUGUCUCAUCAGGGUGAAUUCUGAUUCGUUUAGAAUAGGGCUCAGCAGACUUUUUCUGUCAAGAGCUUGGGAGUAAAUAUUUCAGGGUCUGCAAACCUCCUGAUCUCUGGUGCAGCUGCUCAGCUCUGCUGUUCAGACGCCAGAGCAUCCGGACAUUCCACACACCCACAGAGCUUUAUUAACAGCGGUGUCUGGGGCUGGAUUCAGUGUAUGAACUGCAGUUUGUCCCCACAGCCUCCUCACUAUUGACGCCUGCACCAGAGCAUGCAUUUGCGACAAUGGGUGAACCUGCACUGACACGUCAUCAUCACCCAGAGCCCAGACUUAACACUAGGAUUUACACUUGGUGGUGUGCACUCUGUGGGUUUGGACAUAUGUGCAAUGACAUGUAUCCACCGUCACAGCAUCAUACAGAGUAGUCUGUCUUAGUGACCUUAAAAUGCUCUGUGCUGCACCUCAUUCAUUGCUCCUUCCCCUCUAGCCUCUGACAGCCACUGAUCUUUUAGUCUCUGUGGUUUUCCCUUUCCCAGAACACCAUACAGUUGGAAUCAGACAGUUGCGGAACCUUCCCAGAUUGGCUUCUUUCACUUAGUAAUAUGCAUUUAAGGUUCCUCCAUGUCUUUCCAUGCCUUGAUAACUCAUUUCAUUUUAGCACCAAAUAAUAGUCCAUUUUCUGGCUGGACCACAGUUAAUCCAUUCACCUACUGAAGAACAGCUUAGUUGCUUCUGAGUUCUGGUGAUUAUGAAUAAAGCUGCUAUUAACAUCUGUAUGCAGUUUUGUGUGUGGACAUAAGUUUCCAUUUCGUCGAGUAAACACCAAGGAGCACAGUUGCCGGAUCAUGUGUUAGGAGUACGUUUAGUUUUGUAAAAAAUUGCCAGACCGUCUUCCAAAGUAUCUGGGCCAUUUUACAUUCCCACCAGCAAUGCAUGAGAAUUCCUUAUGCUCCACAUCCUCACCAGCAUUUGGUGCUGUCAGUGUUCAGAGUUUUGGCAGUUCUGACAGGUGUGCAGUGGUACCUCGCUGUUUCAGUCUGCAUCCCCUUGAUGACAGAUGCUGUGGAGCAUCUUUCCAUAGACUUCUUUGGCAUCUAGAUUUUUUCUUUGAUGAGAUCUGUGUCAGGAAUUUUGCUCAUUUUUUAAUCAGGUUGUUCAUCCUUCUUGUUGAGUUUAAAGAGAUUUUGGUAUAUUCUGGAUAUCAGCCCUUUAUCAAUGUGUCCCUGCCCUUCACCUGCAGCACCGGAGUUGUCCUUUGGGUCUCAGUGGAGUGUCAGCUCUUCAAAGAGGUUCCCUGUCUUCCCUCAGCCUAAAUACUGUCCUUGUAUUUUUCACUUUCAUUGACUCAUUUUGUUCUUUUUAAAUAGCAUUUCCCAUAAUUUGUAAUUAUAUUAAAAAAAAGGGCAAUGAUUGAACACCACCUCCCCACCAGGCUGUGUGCCCUGUGAGAGCAGAGGCCCUGUCCCCACUCACCAUUUCCCAUGACAGCACAUGGCACAUGUCCAUGUAAAAGUGUGUAACGUGGGGCCAAACCUGAUGAGCAGCUAUGAUGACAUGUGUUGUCUACCAUUUAUUGAAUAGACUUUGUUUCUGAUGUAAAUUAUUAAAUCACAUGAAUUAAACUUGUUUGUUUUGAAAAAUAAAACAACAAAGCCCACCUCCA